rnacentral:rRNA from 1 species
UUGUACACACCGCCCGUCACACCAUGGGAGCCGGUAACGCCCGAAGUCAGUGGCCCAACCGAGAGGGGGGAGCUGCCGAAGGCGGGACUGGUAACUGGGGUGAAGUCGUAACAAGGUAGC